CAUCCCACCUCUGCUGGGCAGGCUGAUCUCUUUAACAACAGACAAAGCCCUGAAGGAGACCAGGGAACUCCUGCACCUCGGGCUGCUGCCUCAGGAUGAAUGCAGGUCUUGUGAUGUCUGCUCCCAAAGUCCUGGUGGGAGGUGCAGCUUUUGCCCUAGUUGUGCUCUAUAAAGGGAUAAUUUCUGCUUCCGGAGCCGGAGCUAACACUGAUCCCCAAUAUGACUGUGCAAAACACAAGAGGCAUCCUCCAAAGGCCCAUAAACAAAGAUAAGGGUUCUACAGUCGGCUUUCACUGGAGCCACACAGGGUUCUCCCUGUCCUCGGGCCUUAGCUCAGCCUGGGCAGUCCUGCUGCUCCUCUCCCGAAGAGAAGAUGGGGACUGAGAGAGACCAACAGCGAGAUCCCCUGGUUCUGUGCUGUGUGUGCAGCUCCCACUCAUCACCUUGUGUGCUUCCCUGCCCUUGAGCCCUGGAGACACAAAUAUAUGCAGCUAAUCACCUCUUUUCAGUCACUCAUUCAUUUAACAAUAGUACAUUUGAUACAUACGUAUGGAGCAUUUGUUUGACAUGUUAGGUCUCCUCCCAUGGCAGGAGAUGGGGAAUGCUGUAAACAUGACUUUGCCAUGGACCUCUAGAACCUUGAGGCCUCCCAAGAGCUUCAGCGGGUGUAUUCACCAGGUUUCCUCACAGGCUAUUUAUGCAGAAAAGAGAGGUUUAUGCCUCUCAGUUUGGGGGGUUCAAAGCCAUGGCAUCUCCAUUGGCUAAUAUAGUAUAAAAACUACAAUGAAAGUGUGGGUUGCAGUUAAGGGUAAGGGGAGGGCUGGGAAGGAAAAUAAAGCAUAUUAUUACAUGUAUGAAUACGAGGAAACAAACUCAUUAUUCUCUAUCAUGAAUAUGCGCUAAUAAAUUUGUUGGCAGAGUUUCAGAUUCCAUGCUGCAAACAUAAAGAAACGAACCCUGGAAUCUGUGCGUUGUGCUUCUCAGUAAAGAUGAGGGGCCGUUUGGGCAGUGGCGAGUGGUGAUUUCCGUUGUCCGAACUGGGGAGACAGGGCGGUGCCCCUGAGCCUCAGUGGGCAGCUGUUAGGCAUUUGCCAGGACACUGCUGGAUCCUUCGAUGUUCUGGAGCAUAGAUAACCACCGCAGUGCACACAGGUGGCGCCUGGAUCGUUCCAUUCACAGACACAGAAGGAGCCUGGCUGUUUCAGGGCUCUCCUGGGGAGCCAGUGUGGACAGGGCAGUUUAGGUCCAGGCGGGGGCUGUGUUUGCACGGCAGUGUGAAUUUGAAGUGGAGAACUGUACACUUGAAAAUGGUUGGGAUGGUUGUGCUUAUUUUAUUACAAUGAAAUGUAAUAAACAAUUUAGUAAUUUUUUUUAGAAAAACACCCAGGUGUCUCAGAAGCAUCACCAAGUUUUAAAGGCCCCCCCCCAUGCCUCCUCUCCUUGUUCCUGCAGGAGGCCAUAAUCCCCAGUGUGAAUGCUGAUUAUGCCCUGCCCUUGUCUCUGUAGUAAAGUAGCAUAUCUGCAUCUCAGUGCUCCUAAACAAAGGGAGGCAUUCACAGGGCUGCUCAGGCUCCAAGUUCAUCCUGGGUCCUGGUGGCCCUGGCAGGGCCAGCGGCUCCUGGGUGGGACCGCC
ensembl:lncRNA